rnacentral:misc_RNA from 1 species
GUAUUUAUUAACUUUUCUUUAUUUCAACAUUCUAAACACAUUCAAGAGGUUGUGAAAAAUGACAUAGACCUGGAAAAAGUUCAAGGGAAAGCCGACUUCUUUUUCUUUGAAGCACAGCAGUCCCCACUCGGAACAAAUCCAAAAACCUCCAGGGUCUACAAUAUGUGCACAGUUGGGAGAAAUGAUAAAGAUGACAAGCGUGCACAUGUCCUGGGACCAGCAACAGCCUGUUCAAGUUUAUUCGAUAAUGAUCCUUCCGCAGGUUCACCUACGGAAA